rfam:Ricinus communis ctg_1100012351039, whole genome shotgun sequence.
GGUUCAAUGCCACGUUGCUGGUAGCCAUUUGGCAUUGACCGGCAAUGCUAUGAUUGGACCUAAAUCAAUUUCUUGUUUUGCUGACUGAUAGGAAUCUUUGGAUCUGAUUUCUGUUGAUUCAUGGAGCCGAUUACAGUGAUUACAUCC